GGGGAGUGUUAUUUUGAUAGAGGCAAUUGAGCGGCACAAGGUAACAGUGGCAAUACUGGUGUUGUCGUUGGUUGUGACACAUAUGAAGAAUAAGACGGUAGUGGAGUAUGAUUGUUUGGUACGAUUGGUGAUGUCGAGGGCUACAGAAGGACCAUAUUAUGAGUUCUUGACCAUCAAUCAAGGACCAUUGUGUUGGGAUAAACUUAAAUUUUAGGGGUUUAUUAGCAAUUUUGUUUGAAUCUUAUUUUAUUAGUUUGAGUUUGGUA
rnacentral:lncRNA from 1 species